UACGUAGGGUGCGAGCGUUGUCCGGAAUUAUUGGGCGUAAAGAGCUCGUAGGCGGUGUGUCGCGUCGGCCGUGAAAACCUGGGGCUUAACUCUGGGCGUGCGGUCGAUACGGGCAUCACUGGAGUUCGGCAGGGGAGACUGGAAUUCCUGGUGUAGCGGUGAAAUGCGCAGAUAUCAGGAGGAACACCCGUGGCGAAGGCGGCUCUCUGGGACGGUACUGACGCUGAGACGCGAAAGCGUGGGGAGCAAACAGG
rnacentral:rRNA from 1 species